UGGCUCAGUUAGUAGAGCGUCCGCCUCACAACCGGGAGGUCGUGGGUUCGAACCCCGGC
rfam:Strongylocentrotus purpuratus Contig65050_fixed, whole genome shotgun sequence.